rnacentral:tRNA from 1 species
GGUGGCUCAGUUGGUAGAGUGCUUGCCUCGUACACAUGAGGCCCUGGGUUCGAUUCCUCAGCACCA